CAGUCUCCGCGGUAAUACGGAGGGUGCAAGCGUUAAUCGGAAUUACUGGGCGUAAAGCGCACGCAGGCGGUCUGUCAAGUCAGAUGUGAAAUCCCCGGGCUUAACCUGGGAACUGCAUUUGAAACUGGCAGGCUAGAGUCUUGUAGAGGGGGGUAGAAUUCCAGGUGUAGCGGUGAAAUGCGUAGAGAUCUGGAGGAAUACCGGUGGCGAAGGCGGCCCCCUGGACAAAGACUGACGCUCAGGUGCGAAAGCGUGGGGAGCAAACAGGAUUAGAUACCCCAGUAGUCCCUGUCUCUUAUAU
rnacentral:rRNA from 1 species